UACGGGAGGCAGCAGGGGGGAAUAUUGCAACAAUGGGCGCAAGCCUGAUGCAGCCAUGCCGCGUGUAUGAAGAAGGCCUUUCGGGUUGUAAAGUACUUUCAGUCGUGAGGAAGGUGUUAAGGUUAAUAACCUUAGCAAUUGACGUUAGCGACAGAAGAAGCACCGGCUAACUCCGUGCCAGCAGCCGCGGUAAUACGGAGGGUGCGAGCGUUAAUCGGAAUUACUGGGCGUAAAGGGCACGCAGGCGGUUAAUUAAGUUGGAUGUGAAAUCCCCGGGCUUAACCUGGGAAUGGCAUUCAAGACUGGUUAGCUAGAGUCUUGUAGAGGGGGUAGAAUUCCAUGUGUAGCGGUGAAAUGCGUAGAGAUGUGGAGGAAUACCGGUGGCGAAGGCGGCCCCUGGACAAAGACUGACGCUCAUGUGCGAAAGCUGGGGAGCAAACAGGG
rnacentral:rRNA from 1 species